rnacentral:rRNA from 1 species
AACGAACGCUGGCGGCAGGCCUAACACAUGCAAGUCGAGCGAGGACUUCGGUCCUAGCGGCGGACGGGUGAGUAACGCGUGGGAACGUGCCCUUUGCUACGGAAUAGCCCCGGGAAACUGGGAGUAAUACCGUAUGUGCCCUUCGGGGGAAAGAUUUAUCGGCAAAGGAUCGGCCCGCGUUGGAUUAGGUAGUUGGUGGGGUAAUGGCCUACCAAGCCGACGAUCCAUAGCUGGUUUGAGAGGAUGAACAGCCACACUGGGACUGAGACACGGCCCAGACUCCUACGGGAGGCAGCAGUGGGGAAUCUUAGACAAUGGGGGAAACCCUGAUCUAGCCAUGCCGCGUGAGCGAUGAAGGCCUUAGGGUUGUAAAGCUCUUUCAGUGGGGAAGAUAAUGACGGUACCCACAGAAGAAGCCCCGGCUAACUCCGUGCCAGCAGCCGCAGUAACAC